rnacentral:rRNA from 1 species
AUUGCAUGAUCUGGUGUGAAAAACUCCGGUGGUAUAAGAUGGACCCGCGUCUGAUUAGCUGGUUGGUGAGGUAACGGCCCACCAAGGCGACGAUCAGUAGCCGACCUGAGAGGGUGACCGGCCACAUUGGGACUGAGACACGGCCCAAACUCCUACGGGAGGCAGCAGUGGGGAAUAUUGCACAAUGGGGGAAACCCUGAUGCAGCGACGCCGCGUGAGCGAAGAAGUAUUUCGGUAUGUAAAGCUCUAUCAGCAGGGAAGAAAAAAAUGACGGUACCUGACUAAGAAGCCCCGGCUAACUACGUGCCAGCAGCCGCGGUAAUACGUAGGGGGCAAGCGUUAUCCGGAUUUACUGGGUGUAAAGGGAGCGCAGGCGGUGCGGCAAGUCUGAUGUGAAAGCCCGGGGCUCAACCCCGGGACUGCAUUGGAAACUGUCGUACUUGAGUAUCGGAGAGGUAAGUGGAAUUCCUAGUGUAGCGGUGAAAUGCGUAGAUAUUAGGAGGAACACCAGUGGCGAAGGCGGCUUACUGGACGAUAACUGACGCUGAGGCUCGAAAGCGUGGGGAGCAAACAGGAUUAGAUACCCUGGUAGUCCACGCCGUA